rnacentral:rRNA from 1 species
AGCUCCAAUAGCGUAUAUUAAAGUUGUUGCAGUUAAAAAGCUCGUAGUCUGACCUAUUUGGCCUUUUCCUUUGGAUUUGCCUGCAUUGUUGAGGCGCCCUUGUCUCUGGCUUCGGUCAGUGGGCUUGGACUGUCUUUUGUGCGGGGGGCCAAAUUUGUACUUCGGAGGAACUUGGGUCCUCUUCAUUGAGUGCCCUGUGGGAUUCCGAUAGUUUACUUUGAGAAAAAUAGAGUGUUCAAAGCAGGCGUUUUGCCCUUGAAUACGUUAGCAUGGGAUAAUGAAAUAGGACAUUGGUUCUCUAUUUCUGAUGGUUUGAAGGACCGAUGUAAUGAUUAAUAGGGACAGUUGGGGACAUUCAUAUUUCAUGGCUAGAGGUGAAAUUCUUGGAUUCAUGGAAGAU